AUAGGAUCUAGACCUGGCAUAUCUUCAUACGACCAUGCAAAAAUGUCCGGAUAUUCCCGGAGGAGUUGGAUGAUCUUCUUUUUAACCCAUUCCUCUAGAGCAGCACCGAUCUUGAUUUCUCGCUUGUUCUCCUCGGUACCUAUGUUGAUAAGCUCAAUCUCUUCCUGG
rfam:Medicago truncatula strain A17 chromosome 3, whole genome shotgun sequence.